UGCUAAUACAUGCAAGUCGAACGCUUCUUUCACACCGGAGCUUGCUCCACCGGAAAAAGAGGAGUGGCGAACGGGUGAGUAACACGUGGGUAACCUGCCCAUCAGAAGGGGAUAACACUUGGAAACAGGUGCUAAUACCGUAUAACAAUCGAAACCGCAUGGUUUUGAUUUGAAAGGCGCUUUCGGGUGUCGCUGAUGGAUGGACCCGCGGUGCAUUAGCUAGUUGGUGAGGUAACGGCUCACCAAGGCGACGAUGCAUAGCCGACCUGAGAGGGUGAUCGGCCACAUUGGGACUGAGACACGGCCCAAACUCCUACGGGAGGCAGCAGUAGGGAAUCUUCGGCAAUGGACGAAAGUCUGACCGAGCAACGCCGCGUGAGUGAAGAAGGUUUUCGGAUCGUAAAACUCUGUUGUUAGAGAAGAACAAGGAUGAGAGUAACUGUUCAUCCCUUGACGGUAUCUAACCAGAAAGCCACGGCUAACUACGUGCCAGCAGCCGCGGUAAUACGUAGGUGGCAAGCGUUGUCCGGAUUUAUUGGGCGUAAAGCGAGCGCAGGCGGUUUCUUAAGUCUGAUGUGAAAGCCCCCGGCUCAACCGGGGAGGGUCAUUGGAAACUGGGAGACUUGAGUGCAGAAGAGGAGAGUGGAAUUCCAUGUGUAGCGGUGAAAUGCGUAGAUAUAUGGAGGAACACCAGUGGCGAAGGCGGCUCUCUGGUCUGUAACUGACGCUGAGGCUCGAAAGCGUGGGGAGCAAACAGGAUUAGAUACCCUGGUAGUCCACGCCGUAAACGAUGAGUGCUAAGUGUUGGAGGGUUUCCGCCCUUCAGUGCUGCAGCUAACGCAUUAAGCACUCCGCCUGGGGAGUACGACCGCAAGGUUGAAACUCAAAGGAAUUGACGGGGGCCCGCACAAGCGGUGGAGCAUGUGGUUUAAUUCGAAGCAACGCGAAGAACCUUACCAGGUCUUGACAUCCUUUGACCACUCUAGAGAUAGAGCUUCCCCUUCGGGGGCAAAGUGACAGGUGGUGCAUGGUUGUCGUCAGCUCGUGUCGUGAGAUGGUUGGGUUAAGUCCCGCAACGAGCGCAACCCUUAUUGUUAGUUGCCAUCAUUUAGUUGGGCACUCUAGCAAGACUGCCGGUGACAAACCGGAGGAAGGUGGGGAUGACGUCAAAUCAUCAUGCCCCUUAUGACCUGGGCUACACACGUGCUACAAUGGGAAGUACAACGAGUCGCAAAGUCGCGAGGCUAAGCUAAUCUCUUAAAGCUUCUCUCAGUUCGGAUUGUAGGCUGCAACUCGCCUACAUGAAGCCGGAAUCGCUAGUAAUCGCGGAUCAGCACGCCGCGGUGAAUACGUUCCCGGGCCUUGUACACACCGCCCGUCACACCACGAGAGUUUGUAACACCCGAAGUCGUAGAGGUAACCUUUGGAGCCAGCCGCCUAAGGUGG
rnacentral:rRNA from 1 species